UGCCUCAUUAAUUGAGGGAUAGCUACUAAGACUGUGUCACCCAGUGAAAGUUGUAGAAGUCUGCUAAUAAAUUAAGGGGAGAGACUUUUAUCUACUUUUAUCCUAGCGUUCCCUCCUGCAGUGUCUCUGAGUUGCUCACAGGCACAGCAUACUAUUCCAGCUGGUCUUCUCCACUGUCAAUCAGCAACUUUCACCCAGGCACACUAGCCAAACUCACUGGAGUGACUCCUAUUACCAGGCUCCCGAGCAAAUGCAGCUGGCACUGACAUACUUGCAGGCAGCAGGCAGAUGAUCAUGGAUAGCUGUAGAUGAUUAAGUUUCGAUCACAUCACCUCCCUGUGUACUUCCUGCUGUUCCUCUGCUUGAGAUUAAUGCCUCAGUAACAGAGCUGCCUCACUCAGUGUGCAGCUCAGUGGGAGAGUUUACACCUGGAGUGUAUUGCUGCAGUGUAGAUAAACAUUCCCACACAGCCCACAGCCUCACACCUCAAAAACUAUUUUAUCUUGUCUCUAGUGGGCUUGUGCUAGAGGAGGUGGGUUUGGGAACUCUGGUCAUCUGCUUUCAAGUUUAAAUCAUUUUCUUUGAGACCCUGUUGGCAUUUAAGGAUGGGGCUUUCUGUUUGUUAGCUUCCCCCAGAAGUGAAUAAUUACCCUACCUACAAUUAUAGUGCAGAUUUGCUGUUACCAUUCUCAGCGCUGGCAGGUUUGCCUCUGCAGCUGUUUUCCAUUAAGCCAGGAAACACUCUGUAACCAAGACUCCCAACAUGUAGCUGACCUCCUAAGGCUCAUCCAAUGAGAAGCAGCAGUAUCACUUAUCAGUAGGUGCCAGACUAUUUAGAUUUCUUGUUCAUAAGUUUACAAAGAAAACACAGCCAAUUCGGGCGGAUAAAAGACUGCAGAAGUGGGUGUUUCUUUUAUGCGGGCCCACCGAUCUCCUUAAAAUCCCAUGACAAAUUCCAGUCUUGUUCCAAGUUCUGUUCUCAUCACUGGUCUCCCAUGCCAAAACUUUUCUCUCUCAGCUUCGCAUACUGAAACAACUCAGUCGACCACCAAACAGUGCAAAGGAAGCAGCAACGUGAAGCUGAGGUGUGUAAAAAGAGGUAGCCAGAGCCACUCUGCUCUCAGAAACAAGGAGGAAGAGGAGGCCCUGCAUCUGACAAGGCCACUUCUGUACUUUUGGCUGGGCAGUGUCCCUCAGCAAGAUAUCCUAUAUCUUCUGAUGAGUUCAGUGAAAUAAUGCACGCUCUCCAAGGAGGAAGAAAGCAGAAAGAGAACCUUCAUGCCUUGGCAUGGUGGCUAUUUCUACGGGGACUGGGCAGGCCACUGCAACAUGCUGGAGUAGAAAGUAGUACCUUACCUGCCCUUGGCAGCUUUUUUUUCAUCAAAUUCUAGUUGCUGGUGAAAAAAAAAAUAUUAAUAAAAAAAAAAAAAAAAAUGGUGAUUGCCUUGCA
rnacentral:lncRNA from 1 species